rnacentral:rRNA from 1 species
GGAGGAUCCGAGCGUUAUCCGGAUUUACUGGGUGUAAAGGGAGCGUAGGCGGUCCUGCAAGUCUGAUGUGAAAGGCCGGGGCUCAACCCCGGGACUGCAUUGGAAACUGUAGGACUAGAGUGUCGGAGGGGUAAGUGGAAUUCCUAGUGUAGCGGUGAAAUGCGUAGAUAUUAGGAGGAACACCAGUGGCGAAGGCGGCUUACUGGACGACUACUGACGCUGAGGCUCGAAAGCGUGGGGAGCAAACAGGA